GAAAUGCGAUACUUAGUGUGAAUUGCAGAAUUCCGUGAAUCAUCGAGACCUUGAACGCAAAUUGCGCUUGUGGGUAUUCCUGCAAGCAUGCUUGUUUGAGUGUCAUCAAUACUUCUCACAAACCAAACACUUCUGUGUGUGGUGAGUGGUUAUGAACAUCAGAUGCUUUGGUGUCUGUUGUUUGAAAUACUGCAGAGUGAUUCAGUAGCUUGAAUUUACUAUUCUCUCUCAUAUCCAGUGCUUUAAUCGGUCUUGUACCGACUGUCUCUGGUGGAGCAGCAAAUAGUUCACUCAACCUCUGAUUAAAUUCCCUCUGAUUGAAGGACUUCAAAACCUUCUCUUAUUAUAAUCAUCUUUGUGACCUCAAAUCAAGUAAGGCUACCCGCUGAACUUAA
rnacentral:misc_RNA from 1 species